UCCCAGAAUACUCUGUUUCUAAGGCGGACGAUCGCUAUAGGAAUGUAGCAGUUCAUGUCACUUGUGUCUAACCUUUUCCAUGGUGAUGGGAGCACGCAAGCCGGUAUGCGCCAGAGACGGGACUCUGUGGUUCGCAGUUGAUGACGUAACCGGAUGUAGCUACACGGAGUUCCGUGAGCAUCUGCACAUGUGGUGAUUUGAAAUUGUUAUUUAAGCUGCAAAAAUAAGAAAAAGCAUCUGGCAGGAAUUGAUACAGACACAAGAGCAGCCUGUGUCUCCACCUACUGGUCAUACAGUGCAAGUUCAGGAGAAAAGUAGGGCAACGGAAUUCUUCUGCAGCAGGGCUGAGCAAGAGAGACAAUUCUGUAUAUGCCAUGGAUAACAAUUAUAAAAAGUAGGUGAGGAAGGUAACAAAUGGUGGCAGACGCAGCAGCAGUAAGAGAACACAGCAACAGAAAUGAAGUUACCCAAUGCUGGAGAAGAAGGUAUAAUACAGUCAGGGCCGGUUCUAGCCCUUGUGGCGCCUCGGGCGAAAAUAGGGGCGUGGCUUCAUAAAGGGUCAUGGUCAGUUAUGCCCCCUGUAAAGUUGUGCCCCCGUUUGUGCCCCCAGUAGAGUUGUGCCCCCUUUUGUGCCACCAGUAGAGUUGUGCCGCUUACAAAAAAUAAAAAUAAAUUAAAU